ACGGGUGAGUAACGCGUGGGAACGUACCCUUUACUACGGAAUAACGCAUGGAAACGUGUGCUAAUACCGUAUGUGCCCUUUGGGGGAAAGAUUUAUCGGUAAAGGAUCGGCCCGCGUUGGAUUAGCUAGUUGGUGGGGUAAAGGCCUACCAAGGCGACGAUCCAUAGCUGGUCUGAGAGGAUGAUCAGCCACAUUGGGACUGAGACACGGCCCAAACUCCUACGGGAGGCAGCAGUGGGGAAUAUUGGACAAUGGGCGCAAGCCUGAUCCAGCCAUGCCGCGUGAGUGAUGAAGGCCCUAGGGUUGUAAAGCUCUUUCACCGGUGAAGAUAAUGACGGUAACCGGAGAAGAAGCCCCGGCUAACUUCGUGCCAGCAGCCGCGGUAAUACGAAGGGGGCUAGCGUUGUUCGGAUUUACUGGGCGUAAAGCGCACGUAGGCGGAUCGAUCAGUCAGGGGUGAAAUCCCAGAGCUCAACUCUGGAACUGCCUUUGAUACUGUCGAUCUGGAGUAUGGAAGAGGUGAGUGGAAUUCCGAGUGUAGAGGUGAAAUUCGUAGA
rnacentral:rRNA from 1 species